rnacentral:lncRNA from 1 species
CUUGGUUGGGAGGGGGCCCUGGGAGGCCUGGCCCUGCCCUCCAUGGCUGUCAGUCUUAGGGACUGGGCUGGGCCGGGGUUUGGCAUUACCCUGAUGGACUAGAGCUAAAGGCCCAGCACUGGCUUUCUGGACACGACAGGGUUACCAACGACUCUCAUGUGAUCCUAGAGACAAGAAGGACACCUCAAAUUCAACGGAUUGAAUUUCUCACCAUACAGGUGGUCAGGAUUCAGUGCAGUAAAUUUUGGCCGUUCCCCCGUCCUGGAGCAGAGUGACAAGAACCCAAGACAGGAGAUUCGAAUGACUUUGCUAGAGGUCACUUUGGGGAAAAUGUUUCAAAGGCAACCCUCCCAGCAGUGAAAGCUAACGCUAGUCUUCUGUGCAACAGGAUGUAAGCAACAAACAUUUAUUUUGCGCAGUUUUGGAGGCUGGGCACCAGCAGACUGGUGUCUGGUGAGAGUAUCCUCCUGGUUUGCAGAUGGCCAUCUUCUCACCACAUCCUCACACAGCCUCCGUGAAGCCUAUUUGCUCCUUCUGGAAGCUUCCCAGGGGUCUGAUGAGAAAAUCACUAGCAUGUGUGCUAUCGUCAUCUUCUCUUCCUCUACCUUUUUGAGCAAUUCAACAAAUUCCUUGAAGGAUUCAGUGAUGUUAAUAUCAUCAUCAAGUCAGAGUAUCUCCAAUGAAAUCAAACUGAAAUGACCGCAGCAUCUGGGAACAUUUCUGACCUGCAGAAGAGUAAUGCUCACCAGCUCAUUAUAAAGGAUAUUACAAAGGAUCCAGAUGAAGAGAUGCAUGGGGUGAGUAUGGGGGAAGGGGCGGAGAGCUUCCAUGCCACCCUCCAGGGACCUCCACAUGUUCAACUAUUGGGAAGCUCUCCCAACUUAUUUUGAAUAUAUUUUUGUUUUUUUGAGAUGGAGUCUCUCUCUGUCACCCAGGCUGGAGUGCAGUGGCACGAUCUUGGCUCACUACAACCUCCACCUCCCAGGUUCAUGCCAUUCUCCUGCCCCGGCCUCCUGAGUAGCUGGGACUAAAGGCACCCACCACCAUGCCCAGCUAAUUUUUUGUAUUUUUAGUAGAGAUGGGAUUUCACCAUGUUAGCCAAGAUGGUCUCGAUCUUCUGACCUCAUGAUACGCCCACCUCAGCCUCCUAAAGUGCUGGGAUUACAGGCAUGAGCCACCGCCUGAAUAAUUCUUUAUGAUAGUGCAUGUAUACCUGAAGGAACCAUUGGAUAGGCAGUUGUUAAUGUUUGAAAAACAGAAGCUUACACAUAGCUUACAAAAAAUAGCUAUGUGUAAGAGCAUGUGGGGGAGUCCUCACUGGAACUGUGGUCUUCUGCAGUCCACAGUGCAGAAGCAGGGCAGGCCCAACAGAAAUGUAUUUGCUAGGGUCUGGGGAGCUUCCCAGAAAGGGGCUCAGCCUGGGUUUCUGCUGGAGAGCUCCAUGUGCAAAGGCUGGGGAGCUUCCCAGAGACACUCAUCCGGAGAGAACAAGAAACUGGCCCCAAAGAGGCCCUGAAUGCCGGGGAGGGUGGAGCUCUUACUCCAGCCAGUUCCUGGCCCAGGCUACUGCACACACAUGAGCCUAGAGAGAGAGAGAGAAGGUCAGAGUGAAAACCAGAAAGCUCUGCCUCCAUACGCUCUAUCAACUACUGGGGCUGGGCAAUAGCACCUUAGGACCCACGCCUGUUGGGAACAGGCCCCCCAAAUCUGGCCAUAAACUGGCCCCAAAACUGGCCAUAAACGAAAUCUCUGCAGCACUGUGGCAUGUUCGUGAUGGCCAUGACACCCACGCUGAAGAUUGUGGGUUUACUGGAAUGAGGGCAAGGAACACCUGGCCCACCCAGGGCAGAAAUGGGCUUAAAGGUGUUCCUAAACCACAAACAAUAGCAUCAGCGAUCUGUGCCUUAAGGACAUGUUCCUGCUGCAGAUAACUAGCCAGAGCCCAUCCCUUUAUUUUGGCCCAUGCCUUUGUUUCCCGUAA